AGUGAACGCUGGCGGUAGGCCUAACACAUGCAAGUCGAACGGCAGCACAGUAAGAGCUUGCUCUUACGGGUGGCGAGUGGCGGACGGGUGAGGAAUACAUCGGAAUCUACUUUUUCGUGGGGGAUAACGUAGGGAAACUUACGCUAAUACCGCAUACGACCUACGGGUGAAAGCAGGGGAUCUUCGCACCUUGCGCGAUUGAAUGAGCCGAUGUCGGAUUAGCUAGUUGGCGGGGUAAAGGCCCACCAAGGCGACGAUCCGUAGCUGGCCUGAGAGGAUGAUCAGCCAUACUGGAACUGAGACACGGUCCAGACUCCUACGGGAGGCAGCAGUGGGGAAUAUUGGACAAUGGGCGCAAGCCUGAUCCAGCCAUACCGCGUGGGUGAAGAAGGCCUUCGGGUUGUAAAGCCCUUUUGUUGGGAAAGAAAAGCAGCAGGUUAAUACCCCGCUGUUCUGACGGUACCCAAAGAAUAAGCACCGGCUAACUUCGUG
rnacentral:rRNA from 1 species